CAGACGCUCUUUCACAUAUUUAUGGACGAUUGUUUCUUGGGAGAGAAUUGGAACCUCUCGGAUGCACUCGUACUGGCGGAUUUACUCUGUCCCGUCCUCCGUUCUUCUCUUAAGAGAGAAGUGGGAGAGGAGAGAGGAAGACUCGAGGACCCGGGGCUGCUGUCCUGAGAAGGCUAUGUGGGGUGAAUCAGAUGGAGAUGCUCACAUCGCUUUUCACUUCAGACGUCCAGCCCUGAAAAGCUCUGCCCACUCUCCCAAAGCUCGUGUGAAAACACAAGAUAGGCGGUUGUGAGUACCAUGCUGACAUGUGGACCCCUCAGGAUCUGUGAAUAGACACCACAAGAAAAGCAAGAGAAGGGGCUCUUGGCGACCUGGGUGCUGCUGGGAAUCUCUGC